rnacentral:rRNA from 1 species
GGGUGAGUAAUGCAUAGGAAUCUGCCCGAUAGUGGGGGAUAACCUGGGGAAACCCAGGCUAAUACCGCAUACGUCCUACGGGAGAAAGGGGGCUUCGGCUCCCGCUAUCGGAUGAGCCUAUGUCGGAUUAGCUAGUUGGUGAGGUAAAGGCUCACCAAGGCAACGAUCCGUAGCUGGUCUGAGAGGAUGAUCAGCCACAUCGGGACUGAGACACGGCCCGAACUCCUACGGGAGGCAGCAGUGGGGAAUAUUGGACAAUGGGGGCAACCCUGAUCCAGCCAUGCCGCGUGUGUGAAGAAGGCCCUCGGGUUGUAAAGCACUUUCAGCGAGGAAGAACGCCUAGCGGUUAAUACCCGCUAGGAAAGACAUCACUCGCAGAAGAAGCACCGGCUAACUCCGUGCCAGCAGCCGCGGUAAUACGGAGGGUGCAAGCGUUAAUCGGAAUUACUGGGCGUAAAG